AACGAACGCUGGCGGCGUGCUUAACACAUGCAAGUCGAACGGGAUUGGAAGCUUGCUUCCAUGAGAGUGGCGCACGGGUGAGUAACGCGUGGAUAACCUGCCCUGGUAUCUGGAAUAACAUCUCGAAAGGGGUGCUAAUACCGGAUAAGCUCACGACUCCUUCGGGAGAUGCGAGAAAAGGUGGCCUCUGAAUAUGCUACCGUAUAAGGAUGGGCCCGCGUACCAUUAGCUAGGUGGUGGGGUAAUGGCCUACCAAGGCUACGAUGGUUAGCUGGUCUGAGAGGAUGAUCAGCCACACUGGAACUGAGACACGGUCCAGACUCCUACGGGAGGCAGCAGUGGGGAAUUUUGCGCAAUGGGGGAAACCCUGACGCAGCAACGCCGCGUGAGUGAUGAAGGCCUUCGGGUCGUAAAGCUCUGUCAGAGGGGAAGAAGUGUAGUGGUGCUAAUACCAUCACUUCUUGACGGUACCCUCAAAGGAAGCACCGGCUAACUCCGUGCCAGCCGCCGCAGUAAAAC
rnacentral:rRNA from 1 species